rnacentral:rRNA from 1 species
GACGAACGCUGGCGGCGUGCUUAACACAUGCAAGUCGAACGGAAAGGCCCUGCUUUUGUGGGGUGCUCGAGUGGCGAACGGGUGAGUAACACGUGAGUAACCUGCCCUUGACUUUGGGAUAACUUCAGGAAACUGGGGCUAAUACCGGAUAGGAGCUCCUGCUGCAUGGUGGGGGUUGGAAAGUUUCGGCGGUUGGGGAUGGACUCGCGGCUUAUCAGCUUGUUGGUGGGGUAGUGGCUUACCAAGGCUUUGACGGGUAGCCGGCCUGAGAGGGUGACCGGCCCCAGUGGGGAUGAGAUACCGGCCAAGACCCGAAGGGGGGCAGAAGGGGGGGAAUUUGGCAAAUGGGGGGAAGCCCGAUGCCGGAAACCCGGGUGGGGGAUGACGGCCCUCGGGGUGUAAACCGCUUUCGCCUGGGAAGAAGCGGGGGUGACGGUAAUGGGUAAAAAAACCCCGGGUAAAUACGUG